AACGAACGCUGGCGGCAUGCCUAACACAUGCAAGUCGAACGAUGCCUUCGGGCAUAGUUGCGCACGCGUGCGUAACGCGUGGGAAUCUGCCUUUCGGUUCGGAAUAACUCAGGGUAACUUGCGCUAAUACCGGAUAACGUCGCAAGACCAAAGAUUUAUCACCGAAAGAUGAGCCCGCGUAGGAUUAGCUAGUUGGUGAGGUAAAGGCUCACCAAGGCGACGCUCCUUAGCUGGUCUGAGAGGAUGAUCAGCCACACCGGGACUGAGACGCGGCCCAGAAUCCUACAGAAGGCAGCAGAGGGGAAUAUAGCACAAUGGGCGAAAGCCUGAACCAGCAAUGCCGCGAAAGUGAUGAAGGCCGUAGAGUUGUGAAGCUCUUUUACCCGGGAAGAUAAUGACGGUACCGGGAGAAUAAGCCCCGGCUAACUCCGUG
rnacentral:rRNA from 1 species